rnacentral:rRNA from 1 species
CCCUUAGAUGUUCUGGGCAGCACGCGCGCUACAAUGGUCUUCGCAAACGGAUGCAUUCUCGAAGGAGAAUGCCAAUCUUGGAAUCUAUGCCUUGGUCGGGACAGUUGCUUGCAAUUUUUCGACUCGAACCAGGAAUUCCUUGUAAUCGUGAUUCAUCACAUCACGAUGAAUACGUCCCUGCCCUUUGUACACACCGCCCGUCGCUCCUACCGAUCGAAGAGUUAGGUGAAUUGUUUUGAUCGAUAAGAUUUGACUAUGGUCAAUUCUCGUUGUGAAAUUCUGUGAAUCUGACUGUUUAGAGGAAGGAAAAGUCGUAACA